UGUAGUUUUGGAAGGUCAUGCUUGCUACCCAGCCUGGAGGACAGCACUAUAUAAGAGGGAACCAGAGGUGGAGGGCCAGUUGUCCUGCCUCCUACAACAACGAUGCAGUGGCGCGCCCUUCUAGUGUUGGUCCUGGUGGCCGUCUUGGCCGUUUAUGUCAACGCCGCACCUGCGGCUGAGGCUGAGGCUGCGGCUGAAGCUGAGCCGUGUUGCGGUCGUAGACGAGGUGGCGGCGGCUUCGGUGGAGGUGGCGGCUUCGGAGGUGGAAGUCGUGGAGGAUUUGGUGGCGGCUUUGGAGGAGGAGGAGGUUGGGGCAAGUAAAGGCUGAAGACCUGCCUGCUGAUGACGACGACCUGCACGAAGUUCCUCGACCAUGACAACAUCUUAGAUUACAGGAAUAACUUUUUUUUUGUAAAUCCUUCAUAACUGACUGAAAAGAUCUAAUAUUUUCGUUUUUCUUUAACCAAUGUAACUUAUGUCACCAAAUUUUGUAAGAUUGUGUACUUUAAUAAACAAACGGCUAUCAA